GUGGGUGUAGCUCAACAGGUUAGAGCACUGGGUUGUGGCCCCAGAGGCUGUGGGUUCGAGUCCCAUCACUCACCCCA
rnacentral:tRNA from 1 species